ACAAAUUUGAUUCCAUUAAUACAAGAGUAUACCCGUCUUCACUGGCAAAGACUUGUGAAGACUUUAAGACAAAAAAUGAAGUUCUUAUACAGCAGGUCAAGAUAUAUGAAGAAGACUUCAAUAAAGAAAGAGCUGACAAAGAGAAGAUAAGAAAAGAAAAAGAGGAGCUACAGCAAAUUCUCCAGAAACUACAGCUUCAGCUUCACAAAUAGAUAACAAGGCCCUUCAUUAAAACCCCAAGCCAAAAUCAUUCAAGACUGCUUCCCCCAAUGUCCUUCCAAGUUAUAUUCGUGGAGGGGAUUUUCUAAGUUAUGAAAAGUGUUCUGAAAAGUGCUGUGGAAUCCCCUGUACGCUAUGUUUGUCUUUUAAACCCUUAGGUAGCUCUGUGAAACAGGAAUAAUCAUGAGAAUUUGGGCAUAAAGACUACAAUUUAACCAGUGCAAUAAUUAUCUGCUUCCGGUUCAUGAUACUGCUGGCCAUAAUUUGUGUGAUCAGUGAUGAUAAUUAAAUGUGCUAUGUAUCAACAUAGUUGCUUACCCAAGAUAUA